ACGGAGGGUGCGAGCGUUGUCCGGAAUCAUUGGGCGUAAAGGGCGCGUAGGUGGCCUGUGCAAGCGUGCGGUGAAAGCUCGGGGCUCAACCCCGAGUCGGCCGUGCGAACUGCUGGGCUCGAGCACUGUAGAGGCAGGCGGAAUUCCGGGUGUAGCGGGGGAAUGCGUAGAGAUCCGGAAGAUAAACGGUGGCGAAGGCGGCCUGCUGGGCAGUUUCUGACACUGAGGAGCGAAAGCGUGGGGAGCAAACAGGA
rnacentral:rRNA from 1 species